GUAGUAAUUCUAGAGCUAAUACAUGCGUAAAGUCCCGACUUUUUGGAAGGGAUGUAUUUAUUAGAUUAAAAACCAAUGCAGGCAACUGCUCCUUUGGUGAUUCAUAGUAACUUUAACGGAUCGCACGGCUUCACGCUGGCGACAGUUCAUUCAAAUUUCUGCCCUAUCAGCUUUCGACGGUACUGUAGUGGACUACCGUGGCAUUAACCGGUGACGGAGAAUUAGGGU
rnacentral:rRNA from 1 species